UCAAUAAAGACAUGAAAAUGUAAUUGUUUGUUAUUAGUUCAAGCAGACUGUUUGUCUAUUGUUGUGACUUAGACGAAGAUCAGAUCCAAUUUUAUGACCAAUUUAUGCAGAAAUCCAGGUAAUUCCAAAGGGUUCACAUACUUUGUUUUACCACUGUAGCUAAUAGCAGAAAAAUUAUAGUGUACUGUGGGAAUUCAAAUAUAUUUUGUUUAAUUGGGGAUAAUCCGGACCAGUCCAGUAUGUUCAAGUCUAAUUAGUCCAGUCAAGUGUAGUCAGCCCCGUCUAGUCAAUCAGUCAUGUCUAGCCAUGUGUCCAAACAGGCUUGGACCCCGGACAUUGCUGUGCAUUGUAUUUCACUUCAUGUCUCAUAACUUAAUUUAUAAGAUCUGCUGGGUAUUGAUUGAAUAGGAGGCAAACUCAACUGACCAUUAUUAGGCCAUACUCUCAAGAGAAUAAGAUACAUUAAAUCUGCACAUUCAUUCAGAGAUUUCAUCUGUAUCCAUUUCAAACAACCAAAAUAGAGGUUUCUUAUAGACAAAAAAACCCCACUCUCUAUCAAAACCUUUUGACCCUUACGAGUUUCUCAAACCCAGAGGCGCAACAUCGCGAGACUUCCAGGAAGGCUGUCGAAAGAGACGAUGCAGACCGGUUUAGGGUUUGAGAAGUCAAUGGCCAUGUUCGAGAAGAUCAAAAACUGUAGUGUAUCAUGGGUAUAUUGUGCCUGACUGAUCAACAAAUGGAGUAGUUAUUUAUGAUGCAAAGUUAUUUGUAGAUCAGUCAGUCGGCAGCCAAUUGAGAGAAGAUAAACAUUAUUCCUUAGUUGUAAAUUGUCAUAAGUAGCUGGACAUGUAAUUCCUCCAACCUCGUAAAAUUGACAAACUGACACGUUUUUCUUUUCGUAAACAACUUCAUAUUGGAGUGCCUUUCAUUUGACGGCCUUUACAUGCGCAGUUCGGGGCGAUGACGUAUUUCUGCGCAUGAGCUUAGCUAGAUCCUCACAAGUAAAAAAAAGAUUUAAAAAAGAAGGCCUGUCUACACGACCAACCAGCUGAGGGAGUGUAAUAACACGUUUACCCGUUUCGGUAUAUUUCGAGUUCAAGUUUGAGGUUCAAGACAAUUGCGAACUUUGAAAAAAAUAGGUAAAGUCAUGACGGCAAUGAUCUUUAGGUCGGAAAGUCUGAGUUCUAGAAAGAUGCAAGAGUUGCAAGAACUGUUUUUCCCAGUAGGAGCUAGUUUUUUCCCCCGAGUUCCCAGGUGUCUUGAAUGCACUGAAAUCAGAAGUCGGAGAUUUCUGAGAUCCAAGUUGUUGUGAUAGCGACACACAUAACUAAAUAUGCCAGGUUCAAAACAACUUGGAACCACCAAUAGAUUCGGCAACGCCACUGAAGUUCAUAACAUUGAGAAAGGACAAAAGGCUUGAAGACCAUGCCUUUGCACAGAGAUGGAAACUGGUAAAAAAAAAAAGAAGAA